AUUGAACGCUGGCGGCAGGCCUAACACAUGCAAGUCGAACGAGUGGCGGACGGGUGAGUAAUGUCUGGGAAACUGCCUGAUGGAGGGGGAUAACUACUGGAAACGGUAGCUAAUACCGCAUACCAUCGGAUGUGCCCAGAUGGGAUUAGCUAGUAGGUGGGGUAAAGGCUCACCUAGGCGACGAUCCCUAGCUGGUCUGAGAGGAUGACCGGCAACACUGGAACUGAGACACGGUCCAGACUCCUACGGGAGGCAGCAGUGGGGAAUAUUGCACAAUGGGCGAAAGCCUGAGGCAGCCAGGCCGGGUGUAUGAGGAAGGCCUUCGGGUUGUAAAGUACUUUCAGCGGGGAGGCGUUACCCGCAGAGGAAGCACCGGCUAACUCCGUGCCAGCAGCCGCGGUAAUUC
rnacentral:rRNA from 1 species